AGAAUCAACGCUGGCGGCGUGCCUAACACAUGCAAGUCGAACGAGAAAGGGGAGCAAUCCCUGAGUACAGUGGCGACCGGGUGAGUAACACGUGACUAACCUACCCUCGAGUGUGGAAUAACAUCGGGAAACCGAUGCUAAUACCGCAUAACAUCGCAAGAUCAAAGGAGUAAUCCGCUUGAGGAGGGGGUCGCGGCUGAUUAGCUAGUUGGCGGGGUAAUGGCCCACCAAGGCGAAGAUCGGUAUCCGGCCUGAGAGGGCGCGACGGAACGACGACUGGAACUGAAACACGGUCCAGACUCCUACGGGAGGCAGCAGUGGGAAUUUGCGCAAUGGGGGAAACCCUGACGCAGCAACGCCGCGUGGAGGAUGAAGCCCCUUGGGGCGUAAACUCCUUUCGACCAAGACGAUAAUGACGGUACUGGUGGAAGAAGCACCGGCUAACUCUGUGCCAGCAGCCGC
rnacentral:rRNA from 1 species